UGCCAGUGAGAUAUGCUCAAGUUAAGGAUUAAGCCAUGCAUGUGUUAGAAUAAGUAUUUCUUAUUGCGAGUCGGCGUAAAGCUCAGUAAUUCAGUUUUGAUUUUUUCGGAUAUUUGUUAAAAGAAGGGGCAACUUUUCUUUUUUCUACAAGGAUAACUGUAGUAAUUCUAGAGCUAAUACUUGCAUAAUUUAAUGGAUUGAUAUUUAAGUGUCGAUCCUGUAUUUAUUAGAUAUAAAACCAAAAUUUUGGGGGGCAACUCUCAAUUUAAAACAAUUUGGUGAGUCACAAUAACUUUUUAAUUUCAAUUAAUAUUUCGAAUCGAAUAUCUUUAAUGAUGUCGAUAAUCCGUUAAAAAUUCUGACCCAUCAGGUUUGGAUUGUAGCUUAGUGGACUACAAUUCCUAUAACGGGUGCGGGGAAUUAGGGUUUGAUUCCGGAGAAGGGGCCUUAGAAAUAGCCACUACACCUAAGGGAGGCAGCAGGCGCGCAAAUUACUCAAUGCCAAAUCGGCGAAGUAGCGACGACAAAUAACAAUGGAUAGAUGAAGAAAUUCAUUUAUUCAAUUGGAAUGAGAUUAAUUUAAAAAAGUUUUUAAGUAACAAUUGGAGGGCAAGUCUGGUGCCAGCAGCCGCGGUAAUUCCAGCUCCAAUAGCGUAUGUUAAAGUUGUUGCAGUUAAAAAGCUCGUAGUUGAAAUGGGAUGAAAGACAUGUUUAAAAGACAUAAAUUUGGAGUUAAACGGAUUCGAAUGUUUGAUGUUUUUUCGGAUGUAAAAAGUUCGUUGAGAUGUUGAAUUUCGAAUUUUUAAUUCUACUUUCAUUCAAAUAGUUUAGAAACAGAACGAAAAUAUAAUUAAACUUUAUGUUUUCGAUAAUUCUUUUCUUUGUAAACCUUGAAUAAAAUGGAGUGUUCAAAGCAGGUUAUUGUUUGAAAAUAGCAAUAUUUUUAAACAUCUUUUCGCUCGAACAUUUUAGCAUGGAAUUUUAAAAUAUGACGUUAAAUGAGAAAUUUUUAUUCAAUUAGAAAUUUCUUUGGCGAAAAUAUAUUUUUUGUUGUUUUUGUUUUCGCACGUAAUGAUAAAAUAGGGAAGGUUGCGGGGGUUUUUGUAUUUAAAAGUUAGAGGUGAAAUUC
rnacentral:rRNA from 1 species